GGUUGGGCGCUGGGCGGGGCAGCCAACCUGGAGAGGUUGUUGAGACUCACCAGUAGAGUCAGGUGAUAUCUAAUUUCAAUGUCUGUGUUAAUGCAUCAUCGCUGGUGUUGACUGUCAGGUGCCGGGCACUGAGCUGGUACCUUGGUAGAACGCUGGGAACCUUGCCCUGGCAGAGACAAGAGAAUGUCCGAUAGGUGCUGCAAUGACGAAGGAAAUGUUGUGAUGCAGGUGAUAUAGGACCUCCCGCCAGCCCUUCCCUUUAGAAAACCGGAAACCUGGACUGCAUCAUUGAUAGAAGAACCAAGCGGCACUUGGAAGACAGAGAUUUAUUUUACGCCAGCGGGCUCAGAGGAGAGUGAUUUCCAAAGGCUGAGUGAGCCCUGAGUACAGCAGCUUCCUUGGCUUCCUACCAAUCCUGGAGAGGGGGAGGGACUUGAGAAGUUUCUGACUACUUCUUCGUCACUAUGAAGGCACAAUCACCUCUCAGACCGUAUCUGUAUUGGGCACCUGUUUCUUCAUGGGCCAGGCUGGUUGUGAGGGACUGUACUGUCUGGAGUACGGUCCCAGCCCAGUGGUACUGAGUCCAGUCACAAAGCCCAAGUAUGUGGCAACAACUCCUGUGGGACCUUUGGAAAGUUGGACUGGCAUGCAUGUACCCUCACAGGUCUUUGUGGACCUGGAACCUGCUCUCAUAGAUGCCUAAGGCUGCUGCACAGUUUUAAAAAAAAGAGAGAGAGAAAGAGAGACGGAUCAUUGAUUCAAGGCUGCAGUUUUUCCAGAAGCUGACAGAGCAGUGAUUAGGCCUAUAUGACUUAAUGAUCAUCCCCACAGCUGGAGGUUGCUCUGGCCCAUGCAUCACCCUGCUGCUGGCAGAGGAGCUAUUCUUGAUUAUGGCAAGAAGUCAAAGCUGGAAUCAGCCAGCCAGCCAGCCAGCCCCAGGAUGCUGCCAGCAUUGAAGAAACCCUGCAGCUCCAUCCUAAAUGCUGCACACCCUAGAGCCCUUGGACAUUGCAUCUCACUGGGGGACAGUGAGGCCAUGCUCUGUUACUGCAACUGUUCCUCAAGGGCACCACCUACACCAGCCUCAACUACUGCUUGAGCCAGACUUUUGUUCCAUCAUUGCCCUUUUUGGAUUUUAGUGGUGCCUUGAAAGCAGAUUUCCCAGGGUUCCAGGACAAUCUGGUGCCCUAUUUCCAAAUGCACUUCCUUUUGGACCUGCUAACCUAUUACUUUGAGUGACCAAAUGUCAGUGGUGACAUUUUGCAAGACAAAUAUGACUGCUCUGCAAGCUCUACCCAAGGGCUGUGGAGUCCAGAGAACUGAAGGCUGAGAUUAUAUCACCAUACCAGGGGUACUAUGUAAGGUAAAAUCGAGCCGAAAUAACCAGGCAAGGAGGCUACAAAGAAGCCAAAAGUUUAAUAGGGCGCAAUCGUAGGUGAUGUUCGCCGGUCUGGUUAGUCACAGGCUGGAGAAGUCUCACCCAGCAGGGCAGAGAGCGAGUUUUUAAAGAAGGUAGGGGUGGGGAUAGAGCAUAGAUUUAUAGCGGCGCGAGGAUUGGCUAGCCUAAGGCAACUUUUCCAGGUUGGGAGGGGGCACAGCUGGGGAUUUUGGCACAUCAUCAGGCCGGCGUCCGUCCGACGUGCUCACUCCUCCCUCUGGUGCCUCCAGCCUUACAUACUAGACAGGCUGAUGACUAGCACCUCACUGCUUUCAAAGUUGGCUUUAAUUUCUAGUUCCCCAAUAGUGAUUCCACAGGAGAAAUGCUGAACAACAACACAGCCAUCACAGAGCUGAGAUUUUAUCAUAAGUCCGUCAAUUAAUCACCAGUCUGUUCAAGCACAUACUUCAAACCAGAAUGAGGUGAGAGCAUGGAGGAUUUUCUGAGGGUUUCAAUGGCCUGCCUGCUCUAUAAAUGCAUUUAAAGUGCUAUAAUUCAACAAAGUGAGAAGACAAGUGUGGCAAGGACUUCAGGAAAUUGGUAGUUGGGUAAAGAGAAGGGCCUGGUCACCAAUCAGCUGUAUGACCUUGGAGGGAAAAAUUGGAUUAGAUUAGGGCUUCUCCAACUGUAAUCUGCAUGCAGACUUCCUGUGGAUCUUGCUAAAUCACAUAUUCCAGCCCUGUAGUUCUAGUUUGAGGCCUGAUUCUCUAUUCAUUGAGAUUCUGUUUCUAACCUUCUCCCAGUGAUGCCUGAGCUCCUGCUGCCACCCUUUAGGUAAUGAAGCUCUACAGCAUGCUUGUCCACUAGAACUUUUUGCAAUAAUGGAAAUGUUCUAAGUCCCCACUUGCAGUAUAGGAACCAUAUAUAACUAUAGAGCAUUUGAAAUUUAGCUAAUAUAACAGAAGUUUUUCAUUUUAAAACUUAAAUUUAAAACUCACAUGUGGCUAAUGGCUGCCAUAUUGGACAGCAAAGUCUGUAUCUUAUACUCCUCAUCUAUGAAAAUUAGAGUUUGAAACCAGAUGACUCCCAACAUUCCUUCUGAUGUUCUGUGGUUCCAAGUUGUUUUCAAGGUAUAUGGGGGGUGGGGAUGGAGGAUUGAUGAGGGGACAGAUGUUAAAGUCUGGAGUAAAGUGUGAGGAAUUGAGAGUUUCACAAUGGUGGGGUGGGGGGAAAGGAGCAUGGUCCCCUAGGGGCUGGAAGCUAGAAUUCAGUGGAAAAGCUGCCAUCCAGAGUCAAGAGAAUGACUAGCCAAUGAGUGUCAAUUGAACUUUCAGAACCAGAUAAAGGACUUUCUUUGGCAAGAUAGAAAUGCUAAGCCACAAAAGAAAAAAGUGACUAGUUUAACCACAUCAAAAUUUAAAAUACGUGAAAAUAUGGAACACACCAAGGUUUAAUAUCAUCACUAUAUUAAGAAAAAGUUGAAUAACAAAAAAAUAGAUAAAAAGAAUCCUAAUCAGAAGAGAAAACUCUCAAGCCACAAACAGCCACAAGAUGCUCACACUCUUCUGUGAUUAAAGGCAUGCAAAUUCAAACCAAACAUAAAUGAAAAAUAUUCAUAAUACUAACUAUUGGCAAGAACCUGGAUCAACAGAGAGUGAUUCCACUCAGUUGAUGGAUUUGCCAAUUGAUACAGCCAUUUGGAAAAGUUAGGGAGUGAUGUGUUUAAAAAUGUACAAGCAAUAUACCAUCUUGUCCAGCAACUUAACUUCUGGGAGUCUUGCCUUUCUCCUGUGUACUUAAAGACAUAUAAAAGGAUAUUUCCUUCAGUACUCUAAUAGGAAAAAAGAAAAAUUAGUAAGAAUGUCCAUAACUAAAUAAAUUCUGGUACCUUCAUAAUAUGAAAUACUAUGGCAUCAAUUAAUAAAAAUAAGUCUAUAUGUACUAAUAUGGAAAGCUUUCCAGACACUGAUACAUAGAAAAAGCAAAAUCCAUGAGAAAUAAGCCAAAAGUUGGUUGAGAUGAAUAAAACUGAUAAACUCGAAGCUAACUGAUCAAGGAAAAGAAAAGGAAGCACAAAUGAACAAUAUAAGGUUUGGAAAAGUGGGUAUCACUAUAGAUAUACCAGCAUUACAAUGGUAAUGAUAAUGAGUAUUACAAACGGCUUUAGGCCAAUAAAUUUGGCAACUUAGAUGAAAUAGACAACCUGUUUAGAGACCAUAACUUGCCAAAACUGACUAGAUAAAAUAGAAAACCUGAACAGCUCAAUAUCUUUAUAAUUGAAUAUGUAAUUUUUUUAAACCCUCAAAGGAGAGAAUUUUUCCAAAUAGUUAAUUAAUUUCCCCCUAUGUUAAGGUGGCCACAAACCCUUUGCCUCUUCUAAUAUUAAGAAUUGGAGUCUUUUCCCCCUCCUCUUCAGUUUGAGCUGUGAUUUGCUUUGACCAAUAGAAUGUGACAGAAGCGAAGCUAUGUAAUUUCCAAGGUUAGAAAUUAAAAGAUCUAGAGCUUCAGUGUUUACCAAUUCAUAUACUUCCUCUUGGAAGUCAGUCAUUAUAACCAAAGUCCGACUUUCCUGAGACCACCAUGAUGUGAGGAAGCUCAGCCAGUCCUGUGGAGAGCACCAAGGCACCAGGCUUGGGAGUGAAGCCUUAGAAUUUCUAGCCCACCCUACACCUGAAUGCAGCUGAGUGAAUGACACCAACUGACACCACAUGAAUUAAAUUACCUGCCCAGAUGAGCUAAAAUUCCUGACCCACAGAAUUGUGAAAAAAAUAAAGUGGUUAUUGGUUAAGCCACUAUAUUCUGAGGUAGAUUGUUAUGUAGCAAUAGAUAAUUGAAUCACCAUCACAUCAAAUAGUGGUAACUCAAAUAGUAAACCCACCAAUGUGUAAGGUUGCUAUUUCAUACAGUAAAUUAUGUAGUUGGUUUACUGAGUUUGAAAUCUUUUCACAAAAUUUUAACUUUUUAUUUUGAGUUAAUUGCAGAUCCACAUGCAGUUCUAAGAAUAAUCAGGAGCAAUCCCAGGUAUCCUUUACCAGUUAGUAACAUGCAGUAACACUAUGCAAAAUUACAGUGCAGGGUCACAACCAGAAUACUAACAUUGAUGUAAUAAAGAUACAGAAUAUUUCUGUCACCAAAAGAGUCCCUGGUGUUGCCCUUUUACAGCCACAGCCACUUUUCUCUGGGACAUAUAACUCCUCCAUCCAUAACAUCUGGCAAGCACUAAUCUGCUCCAAAUUUUGUCAUUUUAAGGAAAUUAUAUAAAUGGAAUCAUACAAAAUGGCUUUUUUCUCUGAGCAUAAUUCCCUGGAGAGUUCUUAUGGUAUUUAUCAAUAGUUCAUUUCUUUUUACAGCUGAGUAAUACCCAUGGUUGGAUGUACCACAGUUUGUGUAACCAUUCAACUGUCGAAUGACACCUAGGUUGCUGUCAGGUUAGGGAUGUUACAAAUAAAGCUGCCAUAAACAUUCAUGUACAGGUUUUUGUGUGAAUCUAAGUUUUAAGUUUUCUGAAAUAAAUGACAAGCAGUGCAAUUGCUGAGUCACAUGGUAGUUGCAUAUUUAGUUUUUAAAGAAAUUGCCAGGCAGUUUUCCAGAAUGGCUGUACCAGUUUUUCUUCUCACCAGCAAAGUGUAAUUGAUCUGGUUUCUCCACAUCUUCGCCAGCAUUUGGUGAUGUUUCUAUUUUUUUGUUUUAGUUAUUUGGAUAGGUGUAUAGUGAUGUACUAUUGUGGUUUGAUUUGCAUUUCUCUGAUGACUAAUGAUGUUGAGCAUCCCUUCAUGUGCUUAUUUGCUCUCUGUAUAUCCUUUUCAGUGAAAUGUCUUUUCAUAUCUUUUGACCAUUUUCUAACUUUUGAUUUUGAGAACUUUUUAUGUUACCUAAAUAUUAGUCCUUUGUCAGAUAUGUGGUUUGCAAAUAUUUUCUCCAUCUGCAGCUUGUCUUAUCCUCUUCACAUGAGUUUUUGCAGAACAAAGUUUUUAAUUUAAUAAAGUCCAGUGUAUUGAUUUU